rnacentral:lncRNA from 1 species
GUAUGGACCUUCACUCAGUUCAUUCAAAGCUUUCUCUGUGUUCCAAAUUCAGAAGUUGAAGAAGAGGUUGCUGGCCAAUCAGCAGAGCAAAUAUAUUGUAAUUACUCCAGCCCUCAAAGGACAUUUAUGAGAUAUCGCUACAGACCACAGCUGAUGCAAGACUGGAAGUAAAAGCACUUGCUGUAUGACUGAGCAUUUUUCCCUCUCCAAGCCUACAGUUUAGAGGUUGCUCAGCUACAGAGGAUGUUAUUAUGUUCAUAAGAAAAGCACAUCUGCACACUCCACUUUUUAAAUCAUCGCCUUUGUGAUUUGAUAAUUUCUGGAUGUUACUGCCAAUAACUUCUCUGCGACUGCUGUAACUACUUGAAAUAAUAAAAAAU